AGUACCUCUAUAUCACCAAAACAAAAAUUCAGCAACACAUACAACAUGAACUAUUUCCUGGAAAUGAGAAAAAAAAGGAGCAUAAACAUGCUUUUUCAUAUACUAACUACUAACCAGUACAACCCUGCAUAAACAAAUAACAUAACUGGAAGGUGCGAGUUGCUGGGUGGUGUGGUAGUUAUUUCUCUCCUUCAACUCAUCAAUAUUGGCCUACCUUUCAGCACAGUUAGUACCAACGCUUCUGUACCAAAGGAUGAAAGGCAAGGAUGGAAUAUCCUUCCAACUGUGUGCCAGGCAAUGUAGUGGGUGGCAGCAUAACCUCCGGAUCGAUCCACCACCACCUUCGACAUAGGCAUAGUGUCGGUCUAUAGGACUUUACUGUUGCCGAUAUGUCGGUUUAUAUUUCAUGUUUUUUGUCAGACUUUUGAAUUUGGCUGUGUGCAUCUCAGUUAUGCAGAGGCCGGGUGUUACUCAUAAUGUUUUGUAUCCCCUUGAUGCUACAUUCUGAGAUAAUAAAAUCGCCCUUUAUCAAAAAAAAGGCAAUGUAGUGGGUACGGUAUUGCCCAUCGACUCGCUAAGAUUCAAAAUCUCCGUUUUUAUUCGUUCAUUGUCGGCAAUGAUCAUUUCUAAUUUCUAAAAUUCAAAAACAUUUGAAGUCACAAAUGACUGCUAACAGGACGCCCAUAUACUGUAAAAAAAGAGAGUGGAGACCCAUAGUUGCAGCAUUGGAAGGCCAAAAAUCUAUGGAAGUAGAAGAUGG
rnacentral:lncRNA from 1 species